UACAGGGGGUGCAAGCGUUAUUCGGAUUUAUUGGGCGUAAAGAGCGUGUAGGUGGUUUAGUAAGUUUGGUGUGAAAGCCCUGGUCUCAAGCCAGGAAGUGCAUCGAAUACUGCUAGACUAGAGUAUAGGAGGGGAGAGCGGAAUUCCUGGUGUAGAGGUGAAAUUCGCUGAUAUCAGGAGGAACAACAGUGGCGAAGGCGGCUCUCUGGACUAUAACUGACACUAAGGCGCGAAAGCGUGGGGAGCAAACAGG
rnacentral:rRNA from 1 species